rnacentral:rRNA from 1 species
GUAGGUGGCAAGCGUUGUCCGGAAUUAUUGGGCGUAAAGCGCGCGCAGGCGGUCCUUUAAGUCUGAUGUGAAAGCCCACGGCUCAACCGUGGAGGGUCAUUGGAAACUGGGGGACUUGAGUACAGAAGAGGAAAGCGGAAUUCCAAGUGUAGCGGUGAAAUGCGUAGAGAUUUGGAGGAACACCAGUGGCGAAGGCGGCUUUCUGGUCUGUAACUGACGCUGAGGCGCGAAAGCGUGGGGAGCAAACAGGGAUUAGAUACCCUGGUAGUCCACGCCGUAAACGAUGAGUGCUAAGUGUUAGGGGGUUUCCCGCCCCUUAGUGCUGCAGCUAACGCAUUAAGCACUCCGCCUGGGGGGUACGGCCGCAAGGCUG